GAGAGGUGCUGCAUGGCUGUCGUCAGCUCGUGUUGUGAAAUGUUGGGUUAAGUCUCGCAACGAGCGCAACCCCUAUCGUCUGUUGCCAGCAUUAAGUUGGGCACUCUGACGAGACUGCCUGGGUUAACCAGGAGGAAGGUGGGGAUGACGUCAAGUCCUCAUGGCCCUUAUGUCUAGGGCUACACACGUAAUACAAUGGCGCGUACAAAGGGAAGCGAACUCGCAAAGGAAAGCAAAUCUCAAAAAGCGCGUCUCAGUCCGGAUUGGAGUCUGCAACUCGACUCCAUGAAGUUGGAAUCGCUAGUA
rnacentral:rRNA from 1 species